UCGAGAAGCUCUUAGACCCAGACGCCGGCACACUCGGGAACCGGAAGGCCGGAAGCCCCACCAGACGCCCAAAUGCCCCGCCGCCUCGGGACGACCUACUCCGGCCGGAUCGCAGCCGCGACGCCGUCCCCCUCCGGCCCCUCCAUCACCGUCACCGUAUCCCCGACUCCUCCCCCGACGCCGCUCGACCCCCGCGGUUACCCGCUCCCCCGCCGCCACCUUAUCUGCGCCGCCGCCGGCAUCCUCCGUUUUCCCGCCUCUCCCACCCCGCUGGUCGACCUCGCAGACUACCUCCGCGACCGCCGCCUCACGCUCACCGCCUCCGAGGCCUCUGAGAUAGUCAAGGCCCUCUCCCCCGACCCCGCCCUUGCUCUCGCCUUUUUCCGCUUCGCCCCCGCUUCCCUCCCGGGCUUCCGUCACGACGCCUUCUCAUACAACCGCAUCCUGGCGCUCCUCUUCCGCACCAGGGCGGACCCAAGCGAGGCUCUGCGUAUCGUCUCGGAGAUGGAGCGGGACGGCGUGGCCGGCAACAUCUCCACGGUGAAUUUGCUGGUUGGAAUGGGCGGAGGAGGCGUGGAGGUGACCAAGUGCCUGGAGCUGGCCAUGAAGUGGGGGUUGAGGCUUAAUGGCUACACCUACAAGUGCAUUCUGCAGGCUCAUUUGAGGAGCAGGGAGGUGUCCAAGGGGUUCGAAGUCUAUGAGGAAAUGCGCAGAAAGGGGUACAGGCUGGAUAUAUUUGCGUAUAACAUGCUGCUUGAUGCCCUUGCCAAGUCUGGAAUGGUUGACCAAGCUUACCAAGUCUUUGAAGAUAUGAAACAAAAGUACUGUGAGCCGGAUGCGUACACAUAUACUAUACUAAUUAGAAUGUCUGGGAGGGCUGGGAAGACUUCUAAAUUUCUCUCAUUUUUUGAUGAAAUGGUAUCAAAAGGAUGUGCUCUUAACCUUAUUGCUUAUAAUACUCUUAUUGAGGCUCUUGGUAAGAACAAGAUGGUGGACAAGCUAAUCUUUGUACUUUCCAAAAUGAUCGAGAGCGACUGCCAGCCCAAUCAAUUCACAUAUAGCAUUACAUUGGAUAUUCUGGCAACAGAAGGACAACUGCACAGACUAAAUGAGGUUCUGGAUAUCUGUGAUAGAUAUAUGAACAAAUCAAUUUAUUCUUAUUUGGUCAAGUCACUUAGCAAAUCUGGGCAUGUAAGUGAGGCACAUAAUGUAUUCUGUCAGAUGUGGAACUCCUAUGAAACCGGAGACAUGGAUGCUUUCGUAUCAAUGCUUGAGGUGUUAUGCAAUUCAGGAAAAACAUUAGAGGCUAUUGAUCUCCUACAUAUGAUGCCUGCAAAAGGGGUUGCUACUGAUGUUAGCAUGUACAAUAUGGUCUUUUCAGCCCUUGGAAAGCUCAAACAGGUCUCUUUCAUAACCAGUCUCUUUGACAAGAUGAAAGCUAACGGGAUUGCUCCGGAUCUUUUUACCUACAACAUUGUGAUAUCAAGCUAUGGUAGAGUUGGCUUAGUUGGUAAAGCAUCUGGAUUGUUUGAAGAAAUGAACGCUAGCAGUUGUAAACCUGAUGUCAUCACUUACAAUUCUUUGAUAAACUGUCUUGGGAAAAACAGAGAUCUUGAUGAAGCCCACAUGCUUUUCAAAGAGAUGCAGGAGAAGGGAUAUGAUCCUGAUGUCUUCACUUACAGCAUACUGAUUGAAUGCUUUGGGAAAUCUAAUAAGGUUGAUAUGGCAUGCAGCUUAUUUGCUGACAUGAUUGCAGAGGGAUGCAUCCCUAAUGUUGUAACUUAUAACAUCUUACUUGAUUGUUUGGAGAGGCAUGGGAAGACAGCAGAAGCUCAUAAACAUUAUGAGACUAUGAAGCAGCAAGGGUUAACUCCUGACUCGAUAACUUACUCAAUACUUGAGCGGUUGGAAACUAGAUCUCAGCGAACAGUGCGAAUACGAAAGCCAGCUCGGGCUACAAGUUGGGUUGUCAGUCCUCUAAGAUGAUGGUGGCAGGGAUCUGCCCUGGUUCUUCAGCUUGUGUACCGGAGUCUGUCUACAAUGUUGAAUUGUAUUUCAAUGCUCCAAUGAUAUCAAACUAUGUGUUCAGUCACUAUUGAAAAUUUCUGGCUUUCUUCUUUUGAAUGACAAGUUAGGGAUCUUGGUCAGGCAUAAUACAUGGUUACUUGGGUUGCAAUCCUGAACAAAUCAUGAACCAUAUACUGGAUAAGCUAUUGUGUAAAAUUCAAAAUCAACAGUUCAAGAAGCAAGUAUCCCUAUUUCAAGUUCCUGCAGAUAUGUGGGUUCUUGCAAUUAAGACUUACAGGGUAUCCAACACGAUGACUGCAAGUCUGUAAUUUGGUUAUCCUAUGUUAUGCAACUGAGACAGGUUAGACGAGUCAUGACAUCAAAAAGAGAGAACUUGGUGAUUUUUUAGGUUGUUGGAUUAAAGGAUGCUUGUCAUGGCAAAGUUCUGGUUGACAUUGAUGAUACACUCCAAAACAGUGCUACAGAAUGCAGUCAAUUUCACUUGAGUCGUGAAUCCUUGAUCCUUUCUGCUUUCUUGCUUCCUUCCCUAUGUUUUGAUGGCAUUUGUGGUAACUUUGUAAUGCAUCCAGCACAUGUAGCUUGAAAAACCAUCUGAUUGUUUUUGUGGAAGUCACACUUUGUUGCUGUUAUCAAGAUACAUAAUUCAAAACGUUCAAGGGGACAUGGAAUUAUUAGCGAUUCAUCUCAGAUUUAACCAGAAACAGGAGGAUAUCCAGUACGGCUCGACUUGAUUGGAGAUGAGAAGUAGGCUAGAAACUGAGGACAUGAGCUUUUGUGGCCGAACUAGAUAAUUACUCAUUGCUUGCCUGAAAUACAGAUACAUGUCACUCUUAUAUAAUGGAUGUUUAGGCCCUUGAUACCUAAUACAGUUUGACUGAAUAAACUUAUCCUAGUAAUACGGUUUGUUAUCUGAUUAUUUCUCUAUUCUUUUCUCUCUUGAAUUCCUCUGUUGAUAUUGCUGUCCAUGUCUUGUACAUUGCUAGAGCAUUAGGGCAAUGAACCGACGUUUAUAACAUCCUAACUAAGCAACAGAAAUUGUAGAAGUACAUCAUAUGUACCAAUAGACUAAUUAACUUCCUGCACACAUC